rnacentral:rRNA from 1 species
AUUGAACGCUGGCGGCAGGCCUAACACAUGCAAGUCGAGCGGAGGAAGGGAGCUUGCUCCUGGAUUCAGCGGCGGACGGGUGAGUAAUGCCUAGGAAUCUGCCUGGUAGUGGGGGAUAACGUCCGGAAACGGGCGCUAAUACCGCAUACGUCCUGAGGGAGAAAGUGGGGGAUCUUCGGACCUCACGCUAUCAGAUGAGCCUAGGUCGGAUUAGCUAGUUGGUGGGGUAAAGGCCUACCAAGGCGACGAUCCGUAACUGGUCUGAGAGGAUGAUCAGUCACACUGGAACUGAGACACGGUCCAGACUCCUACGGGAGGCAGCAGUGGGGAAUAUUGGACAAUGGGCGAAAGCCUGAUCCAGCCAUGCCGCGUGUGUGAAGAAGGUCUUCGGAUUGUAAAGCACUUUAAGUUGGGAGGAAGGGCAGUAAGUUAAUACCUUGCUGUUUUGACGUUACCUGCAGAAUAAGCACCGGCUAACUUCGUG